rnacentral:tRNA from 1 species
GGGGUUGUGGCUCAGUGGUAGAGUGCUCACUUAGCACGUAUGAGGCACUGGGUUCAAUCUUCAGCACCACA